AUAACAAGGUCCCAGCAGAGCUUGGUGGCAUAGCUGAGUUCAGGAAGGACCCAGAAAAAGUGUUCAGGAUGAUGGGUUGUGGGCCUUGAAGAGUCCAUUUGUCUUCCUAUUGCUCCAGAGCCUUCAACUGCAGCAGAAAAAGGGAGCCUGGCCCAGGCUUGUUGUACUAUGGUGGCGAUGCCAUGAAGGAGUCAUGAGGCACUGGAGAGGGGGCUGUUCUGCCAUUGUGUUCUUAUCAGAAAUCAACCACAUUCAGAGACCUGGGGUACUACCAAGCAGGAUCACACAACUACUGGCGCCAGACUUAAUUACAGCUUUGCUGCCCUUCAGCUGAUUGGCAGCACAGAGAAGUGGACACAGACCAAUCAGAAGUUCACGGUCAUCCUUGGCUAGACAGUGAGUUCAAGACCAGCCCAGAAUACUUCAGACCCCAUUGGCAACGAAGAUAAAGCUUUAGAAAUUGAACUUUAUCAAAAUUAAAAGCAUCUACUUCUGGUAAGUCACUGCUAAAAAAAAAAAUGAAAAGACAAAUCAAAGAAUGGAAGAGAAUGUGAUAAUAAUGUUAU